rnacentral:rRNA from 1 species
GACGAACGCUGGCGGCGUGCUUAACACAUGCAAGUCGAGCGGUAAGGCCCUUUCGGGGGUACGACGAGCGGCGAACGGGUGAGUAACACGUGGGUGACCUGCCUCUAGCUCUGGGAGUAAGCCUGGGAAGGCUGGGUCGUAAUACCGGAUAUGACCUCGCGGUGCAUGUUGCGGGGUGGAAAGCCUUGUGCGGCUAGGGAUGGGCCC